AAAGAAAAAGCCAAACCUGUCGCACGAUAGGGACGGAAAGCUACGGGUCAUUUUUGAUAGCCGGGUUGCCUUGG
rnacentral:ncRNA from 1 species